rnacentral:rRNA from 1 species
AUGAGGUGUGGGUAGGGGAGAAAUUCCAAUCGAACCCGGAGAUAGCUGGUUCUCCUCGAAAUAGCUUUAGGGCUAGCCUCAUACGAGUCUUGCGGAGGUAGAGCACUGAAUUUCCUAGGGGGCGUCAAAGCUUACCGAAGAAUAUCAAACUCCGAAUGCCGCGUAGAUGAUGUAUGGGAGUCAGACUAUACGAGAUAAGUUGGAUAGUCGAAAGGGAAAGAGCCCAGACCACCGGCUAAGGUCCCAAAAUGUGUGUUAAGUGGAAAAGGAUGUGGGAUUUCGAAGACAACCAGGAUGUUGGCUUAGAAGCAGCCAUACAUUAAAAGAGUGCGUAAUAGCUCACUGGUCGAGAGGUCCUGCGCCGAAAAUGUCCGGGGCUGAAACACACUACCGAAGCCGUGGAAUCAUCGCAAGAUGAUUGGUAGAGGAGCAUUCUUAAAGAGAAGAAGCUGUACUGUAAAGAGCAGUGGAUUUUUAAGAAGAGAGAAUGCCGGAAUGAGUAGCGAGAGGAAGGUGAGAAUCCUUCCGGCCGAAUAUCUAAGGUUUCCAGAGUAAAGCUGAUCUGCUCUGGGUAAGUCGGGGCCUAAGGCGAGGUCGAAAGACGUAGUCGAUGGAUAACAGGUUGAAAUUCCUGUACUAUGAUAUGACAGAACUGUGGGGACACGUGUGGAAAGCGGAAGCCGGGAAUGGAAAGACCGGUGCAAGCAAGGUAGGAGACUGGUUGGCAAAUCCGCCAGUCAAUCUGAAGAUGUGAUGCGUACUGAAAUAUAAGUAAGGAAGUCCGUGAGCCAUGCGUCAAGAAAAGCCGCUAUUGUUCAUAUCGUACCCGUACCGUAAACCGACACAGGUGGAUGAGGAGAGAAUCCUAAGGCCGACGGGAGAAGCAUUGUUAAGGAACUCGGCAAAAUGACUCCGUAACUUCGGGAGAAGGAGUGCCAGUGAGAGCUGGCCGCAGAGAAUUGGCCCAAGCAACUGUUUAGCAAAAACACAGGUCUAUGCAAAACCGAAAGGUGAAGUAUAUGGGCUGACGCCUGCCCGGUGCUGGAAGGUUAAGGGGAGAGGUUAGCGGUAACGCGAAGCUUUGAACUUAAGCCCCAGUAAACGGCGGCCGUAACUAUAACGGUCCUAAGGUAGCGAAAUUCCUUGUCGGGUAAGUUCCGACCCGCACGAAAGGCGUAAUGAUUUGGGCACUGUCUCGACAAUGCACCCGGUGAAAUUGAAAUACCAGUGAAGAUGCUGGUUACCUGCGCCAGGACGGAAAGACCCCAUGGAGCUUUACUCCAGCUUGAUACUGGGAUUCGAUAUUGCAUGUACAGGAUAGGUGGGAGAC